rnacentral:rRNA from 1 species
GCCAACGGCAUAGCUGGGUAGCUAUGUGUGGACGGGAUAAGUGCUGAAAGCAUCUAAGCAUGAAGCCCCCCUCAAGAUGAGAUUUCCCAACUUCGGUUAUAAGAUCCCUCAAAGAUGAUGAGGUUAAUAGGUUCGAGGUGGAAGCAUGGUGACAUGUGGAGCUGACGAAUACUAAUCGAUCGAAGACUUAAUCAAAA